CCAUCCAGUUGAACAGUGUUCCUGAUGAAGAGACAUUGAGAGACUCAAAACAAGGGUUGUUUGCAUGCAUUUGGGAAAGGCUCCAAAAAGAAGCAGAGGAAAGUACACUGGGCUGGGAGUCAGGAGAAAGAUGGAUAUCAUUAGACACAAAUAUGUGUAUAUAGGAUGGCUCUGGACCUCAAAGGUAACCCUUUCCCUUGAACUGGAUGAACUGGCUAUCCUGGACCCCUAGCACCUGUCAGUCACACAUCAAUGGCUGGGCACCUGGUGAACUUCUGAGUAUGAUCAACAGUCUGUCACCUGUCUUGUCAACUGUUGGGGACAGCUGGAACAACCCUUCCCCCCAUUCAGUGAACCAGCUGUGCUGAGCUUAUGUUCAUAUGUAGUGAGAACUCUUGGCAGGCCUGGCUUUGUGGGGGUUGGGAAAGGGCAAGAAUAAGGGUGCUGCUACCGCUGCAGCCAACAUAGAAUGUUGGAAAGAGCACUGUUUUGAAAUUACAAGUUGUGGGGUAGAGUUUUGCCUCUGCUCACACAGCUAUCACAUUAGUUCAGACUCUCAUCAUCUCAGCCAAAGCGAUAGAGACCCCAAAGCAGAGAAGCGGGCAAUACUUACAGCGUAUUCUUUUGUUCUUCAUCUUCAAUUGACUGAGGAUUGUCCUCUGUGCGAGCUUGUAACAUUUCCCCAGGGGAAGAAAAGUGGGAGGAAAAAGACCAGGCUUUCUCUGUUCUGUUCCUGAAUCCUUAGCUAAUCUAGUUCAAUUAAACUCAAGUUUCCUAUGUGCAAAGUCAUGUCCUAGGUGUCAAAGAGGAAGACAGUACUGAGACCAAGCUCCUUCUCUCAGGAAAUGUACAGCCUAAUGAGGAAGAUAGGACAUAAGCACAGGGCGUGCUUAGUGCCCAAAGAAAAAGUACAAAGUAGUUUUUUUUGUUUUGUUUUUUUUUAAGGAAACACUGGGCUCAGUCAAGAGAGACCUGCAUUCAGUUUCCUCAGAUCCUUACUAGGUAUGGGGCCUUGGGCAAGUUAUUUGAAAUCCAUGAUUCUUGGUAAUGUAUAGGUAAAAUGCAGAUAAUAAUACUCACACUUCCUACUCCGGAGUUGUUGUGAGAAAAGAGCUUUGUAAACUUUAAAGUUCUUUUUAGACAAGUUAACUGUUAUUAUUGAAGGCAUUCACAGGAUGGAGA